AGGUUGACAUUUGUGCAUAAGAGGAUAAAUGAGGGCAUUAAUGUUGCAGUAGGGACCGCUGGGCGCUGAGGUCUGUGUGAGUGUGUGUGUUCAGCACUAUUUAAAUGACAAAACCUCAAGCCUUGAGGAGGGUGUUGCUGACGCCCCUCUGCUGCCUGUGCUGAUCCAUCCCUGUCCAAAUAAUCAAAUCUUGUACUUUCAAGGAGUGUUACUCCUGCUUAGCUUAAAUACAUCUUCAAAGGUCUGCAUAGAUUUACCCCCCCUCCUCCCGCCUCUCUUUCUCUCUGUCAGCCUCUGCUUCAUAUCUGCCACAUAAUUGACAGCAGCAGCAACAACAAAGCUUAUGUUUUGUAACUGAUGAGUGGUAGUGAUGCCUCAGGAUACCCAGCAACAUCUCACCCCACACACAGACACACACAGCAUAGACGCCGUUACUCUAAUUGAGGCAGCGCACAAGAGGCAGACUCAGAGAUGUGUGUCGUACUGUUGUCGUCUGUCAUUUAGAUAAAAAGAUCUAAGGUGAUGAUUUUGUUUCGUGCCGAACAACGUCCCGCUCAAUUGAACAUGCCACAGAUUGUAGGUCCAUUCGGCAGCAGCAGGUGCUUUGAAAUGGUAAUGGUGUCGUUUGAAAAGUCCUGCACUGUGGAGUCUGAACAUCAUCAGGCUCUUGUGGGGGUGGAGAGGAGAGCCAGAGAGCGGAGGGGGAGGGAGAGGGAGAAAGGGUGGGAGUCUGUGCCUGUUAAUGCAGCAGAGCAUAAAGAAAAGCGAUGGACUUCAGCCUGGUGUGUGUGUGAGAGUGUGUUUAUAUGAAGUAGAAGAUAAGUAGGUAUCAGUUUUCAACAGGGUAACGACCUGGUUUAAGCUCAACAGCCUGAAAAUUCAGAUGGGCUCAAGUGCAGUAUCUGUGGAGUGUGAUAAUGCUGUUUAAAAGGAACCAAUUAAAGUGCUCUGACACCACUAGCUAAAACGGAACCAUUAGUUUAUUAAAGCACUUUGUAAAACUGAAUCUGACAUUAAAAAAGGGUAACAAGGCCGAGUGUGUUUUACCAGCAUGAAUCUCAUUUCAAGGCUAAAACUGUGCAACCUCUCCACAGGAGAAUAGAAGACUUCACUUAACCUGAAAUCGACUUAAAAAACUAUUUCUAAGUGAGCUUUGAAUAUGAUUUAUCAGUUUCUUUCUUCGAGCUGAAAUAUUCUACUGAGUUUGCAAAAGGCACGGUCUUCAAGAGUCUGACAGUAUGAUAGCCUUAUUUAAAACAUAUCAGGGUUUCAAGGCAUUUGAAGAUUGUGAUAACAGCAAGAACAGCAACUUUUGGACUCUGGGUAGAAAGUAAGUUUUUUGAGGUUGAACACGAUCUAUUUUAUUCACAAAAAACUUAAAGAAUAUCUCGAACAUUGUUAUGGAUGUCUUUUAAGUGAAAAUACUGAUAUAAAUGAUCCUGCAAUGCAUUUUAUUCACAAACCCAUACACUACCACUACCAGGAAUAAUAAUGCAGUAUUGAUUCUGCAGUUUCAAUAUUGAUGCAUCAAGAGCCCUUCCAAAAAUGCUGUAUCUCUCAUCAAAUUUACAUACGCAGUUAGGUUUAGUUACAGUUAAAGGUCAAAGAUGUGAUUUAAUUGGACUCCUGUUCUUCUCCCAGUUUAAAAGCAUCAGGCAAGAAUCAAAUUAUUGACAGAAUUAUGCCCACCCCUGCUACAGUACACGGUGUCUCUUCCUACUCGUUACAUCUCCUGGUUUAACAAAAACGUAACAUACCAGAAUAAUCGACAAAUGUAUUUACAAAUGGCAAAUGGGAUGAACAUCAAAAGAUGAAAACAUGUGGACCCUGGAGCAUGUGUAGGAUGCUUACACCAGUGUUAGUCCAAUGGAAGUAAAAGCAAGGAAGACAAAUCCUCCAAACCAUAUGACUGUGAGAAGUUUAUUUUAAUGCAAUUUCAGUUGGACUAGGAUACACGUAUUUAAAAGUCUAAUUUCAGUCAAACUAAUGCAAUAAAUUCCUUUUCGUAGAGUGUUAUUUAAGUUAAGUUCUCUGUCUGUUUCUGUGAUGGUUGUCUGACAAGCACCUACUUUUCCUGGUUACCUGGGUGCCCAGUAGAUGAUUGGUUUGAUCCCCUUAUCCAACUGCAGGCUGGCAGCCAGUGAUAUACUUCAGAAACAGUCUGAGCGCCUCAUUGUGACCCUGGGUGAAGCAGUUUCUCUCUAUGUACUCACAAGCUUCUCUUUCCUCCUUGUUGAAUACAGAUAGCUAAAAAUUUCCCGUGGGUUUUGACUAGGAUUAUUCUGUUAGCCUCAAAUUCCCACAAGAAGUCAGGGUGAACUGUUGAGAGAGCGCAGCAGAAAGACUGAAUUUCAACUUAGAAAGAUGCAAAAAACAAAGGCAGUGUCCCAGUGUGUUGUUAACCCCCUGACAUUAAACAAUGACGGCACUCAUGAAAGCUGCAGAGACUCAUCAGUUCUGGUCUCUGACAAUCUUGUUUGUCUUAUAAAGAAUAGAUCACUUUCAUAGCUCAGAGAGAAGCAAAGGCCUUAUUUUGGCCAAUUUCAUAACCAUAAUAAAAUCCUGUCGAUCAGAACGGUUUAGGUCUUUAUUGUCAUUGCUCUAAAAGCAGCAAAAGGACAGUUUAGCAUCUCUUGGUAGUUGCACCACAAAGUAAUGACUUUUCAAAACAACAAGAAAAGAAAAGAAAAAAAAAACAGAAAAACUUGUGACAACCAGAUUGUUGUCAUAGAAACUGCAUGUACUGUUUUGUGCGACAAACAGACCCAUGUUAAACAAGAAUAACUUUAUUUUAUCCCUGAAGGGAAAUUCAAUCAUCUGCAGUAUCAGUUGUCAUGUGUCAAAAGUCAUCUACUAUUUAAGGAGGGAUUGUAAAGUCUGAUGGCUGUGGGUAAAAAAAGAUCUUCUUAAAGCUCCUAUCAGUGACUUUUUGUUGGUGUAGACAAAUUGGACUCCCUCGUCUUUUAUUGUUUUUUAAUUCAGUGUCUUUGUCCUUCAAUUGUUCCAGUUGCCUGAUGAAAAAUGUCACCUGCUGCCUUUUAGCAUGAAAUUGCGACACCCAAUAAUAGUUUGUCCUGUGGAAAUUGUGAAAUAAGACUUUUUAAGGGAGGUGGAGCUAACUACUUAAUCCAAAAGCCCCCUGGUGGCAGUGUCAGGUAUUUAAAAAAAUGAAAGUAACACGAUCUAUUUUCUUGAUUAU
rnacentral:lncRNA from 1 species